UACAGAGGGUGCAAGCGUUAAUCGGAAUUACUGGGCGUAAAGCGUGCGUAGACGGUUAUGUAAGUCAGAUGUGAAAGCCCCGGGCUCAACCUGGGAAUUGCAUUUGAGACUGCAUGGCUAGGGUGCGGAAGAGGGAAGCGGAAUUUCCGGUGUAGCGGUGAAAUGCGUAGAUAUCGGAAGGAACACCAGUGGCGAAAGCGGCUUCCUGGUCCAGCACCGACGUUCAGGCACGAAAGCGUGGGGAGCAAACAGG
rnacentral:rRNA from 1 species